rnacentral:rRNA from 1 species
AGGGAGUUUUCGGCAAUGGGGGAAACCCUGACCGAGCAACGCCGCGUGAGUGAUGAAGGUCUUCGGAUUGUAAAGCUCUGUUAUAAGGGAAGAACGGCAGCUAGAGGAAAUGCUAGCUGUUUGACGGUACUUUAUGAGAAAGCCACGGCUAACUACGUGCCAGCAGCCGCGGUAAUACGUAGGUGGCAAGCGUUAUCCGGAAUUAUUGGGCGUAAAGAGUGAGCAGGCGGCAGUUUAAGUUUGGAGUCAAAGCGAGGGGCUCAACCCCUUAACGCUCUGAAAACUGAACAGCUAGAGUGCGAGAGAGGUAAGUGGAAUUCCAUGUGUAGCGGUGAAAUGCGUAGAUAUAUGGAGGAACACCAGUGGCGAAGGCGACUUACUAGCUCGAUACUGACGCUCAGUCACGAAAGCGUGGGUAGCAAAUA